rnacentral:rRNA from 1 species
UGGGGAAUUUGGACAAUGGGCGAAAGCCUGAUCCAGCAAUGCCGCGUGUGUGAAGAAGGCCUUCGGGUUGUAAAGCACUUUUGUCCGGAAAGAAAUCCUUGGCUCUAAUACAGUCGGGGGAUGACGGUACCGGAAGAAUAAGCACCGGCUAACUACGUGCCAGCAGCCGCGGUAAUACGUAGGGUGCAAGCGUUAAUCGGAAUUACUGGGCGUAAAGCGUGCGCAGGCGGUUUGCUAAGACCGAUGUGAAAUCCCCGGGCUCAACCUGGGAACUGCAUUGGUGACUGGCAGGCUAGAGUAUGGCAGAGGGGGGUAGAAUUCCACGUGUAGCAGUGAAAUGCGUAGAGAUGUGGAGGAAUACCGAUGGCGAAGGCAGCCCCCUGGGCAAUACUGACGCUCAUGCACGAAAGCGUGGGGAGCAAACAGGAUUAGAUACCCUGGUAGUCCACGCCCUAAACGAUGUCAACUAGUUGUUGGGGAUUCAUUUCCUAGUAACGUAGCUAACGCGUGAAGUUGACCGCCUGGGGAGUACGGUCGCAAGAUUAAAACUUAAAUGAAUUG